AACGAACGCUGGCGGCAUGCCUAACACAUGCAAGUCGAACGAUGCUUUCGGGCAUAGUGGCGCACGGGUGCGUAACGCGUGGGAAUCUGCCCUUGGGUUCGGAAUAACAGUGAGAAAUUGCUGCUAAUACCGGAUGAUGUCUUCGGACCAAAGAUUUAUCGCCCAGGGUUGAGCCGGCGUAGGAUUAGCCUGUCGGGGGGGUAAUGGCCUACGACGGCGAGGAUCCUUAGCUGGUCUGAGAGAAUGAUCAGCCACACUGGGGCGGGGACGCGGCGGGGAAUCCUACGGGAGGCAGCAGAGGGGAAUAUUGGACAACGGGCUCAAUCAUGAUGCAGCUAUGCUGGGUGAGUGAUGAAGUCGGUAGGGUUGUAAAGCUCUUUUACCCGGGAUGAUAAUGACAGUACCGAGAGAAUAAGCACCGGCUAACUUCGUG
rnacentral:rRNA from 1 species